rnacentral:lncRNA from 1 species
CCGUUCUGUUGAACAUCCAACUAUCCUGGCAUCUCCUGGUAGGACAGGGCAUGUCUCCUGUCUGAAAACUUGAGAGCCGUUGGUUCACAUGUCAUGGUAAGCCAAACUAUGACUCAGCAUGAACAAGCAAGAGUGGUGGUGCAGAACUGCUAUGUUAUUCCGCUGCUUCUGGGCUACAAGAAACUAAGCAAUGGUUUCAUUUUGGGGGUUUGUCGCAUUCCAAACAAUAAGCUGUAAUCAAGGUUAGUUAUUGGCUUAUCACUUAUGGUUUGUUUGGGAGAAGACAAACCAUGAUCCUGGGUUGAAUCUAACACUACUGGUCUUGUCUGUUCAAUCCGCAGCAGUCUAUCUUUGCAUGCAGGGGAAAUCCGUAACUCACCAAGGGUUUGAGAUACAUCAGCUAAAAGCCGUCUCCAAGGGUGUGGCUUCUGUUGCAUACUGACAGCUUCUAGGAGCCACAGGGUGAGAGCUGAGUGCAGGAUGAGGACCAAAGGCAGACAAACUACCCCAGGCAUGACUUGUCCCCUGCCAGUGGUAAUACCUCUCCCCAGCACCCGACUUGUAGAUCAGGAACUGGUUAAGUAACAGAAAGUGGACAGUAGGAAUAUAUGGACAAUUCUCCCAGUGGAGGGAUGUAGAGAAUUGAGUCCUCUAUUAGGACCGGGCUUAUUAACAUUUUCACAAAUGAGUUCACACUCUAGCUCAUUCAUGAGCCAGUUAACAAGCACAGUCAGGGGAACAGUGAUGGCAGCCAAGUUGACAGAUGGUACUAAAUUGUACACCUCUGGUCACCUCAUGUCCUGAACUGGCAGGAGUAUGGGGAGGAGGAAGGGGCUUCCGGGAGGGUGUAGACAGCACUGGGGCACACCAGGGCAAGCAAGGGAUGGGGAAGGAGAUGUUGGUGUAGGAAGCACUUAAAGGGGGACCGAGGAGGACGAGGGGAUGGGGGUCGAUGCGCAGGAGCAGGAGCAAUAGGACCCAUCCGCAGAGCCAGAGGGGCCCCUGUCUCCAGAUAUAUGCAGGCUCUGAUGCACAGGGAACAGCGGGUGGAGCGCUCCCAGAGGCAGAGACAGGCAAGGGCCCACAGCCCAGCUUACUGUUGAGAAUUUCCAUUUCACCUUAAGGAGCAGACAUGUGGAACUGUUACGUGUCAUAUGUCUGUUUACAUUCCAGCACAGCUUGCUGGGAACUUCUGCUGUGUGUAUAGUUUUUGCUUUUCCCGGUCUUUCUGAGAAGACAAAGAGAGAGAGAGAGAGAGAGGACAUGUUUCUUUGUCUUGAUUUAUGAUUAAUAAAUCUGUAGUUGUAGUAUGCUUUCCACAAGCCUCACACCUAUUCUGUGUGUGCAGUUCAAUCUGCUGAUAGUGUGCCCUGGCUUUGAAGCCCGGGUUGCUGAUUUACGUCAGAGCAGAGGCUGAUGGGUCUUCGCAGCGGGACAGCUGGAAGGAGACGGCCCAGCUGGGGCUAGCCAGCUGGCCUCCCGGCCCUCUGCAUGUCGACACUUACCAGUGAGCCAGGUGGGGCUCACUAGCUCUGGGAGGAGGUAAGUGAUUCUCCAGUUGGAGUAGGCCGGGAGCAGGUGAGGGUCACAUGGCUCCUCAAGCCCAGAUGCUGAAAUCAGCAGGCAUAGUAUAAAAGGGCAGCAAAGCUGAGGUGCUGUCCCUGCUCAACUGCACCUUGACUUGGGUGCUCCUGGACCUCCCCGGGACUGUAUUUUGGGCUUGACGCUGGACUGUAUCCUGACUUCAGACUUGGAUUGGCCCUGAACCUUGUUUCCUGACCUUCAGCCUUUGGAUUUCGGACUUUGCCGGUGCUGAUCAACCCUUGGCUUUUGAACUUGUGUUUGGCACACUUGAGUGGCUGACGGGUAGGCCAGGGGAUCAGGACACCAAACCUCAAAAAGGAUAGAGUUGGGAAAGGUUUCUAAAAAGGCAACCAAAAUGAUGAAGAGGAUGGAGCGGCUCCCUAUGAGGAUAGGGUACAAAAUUCGGGCUUUUUGGUUUAGAGAAAAGGCAAGUCAGAGUUGAUAUGAUAGAAGUGUGUAAAACUAUAUGAGACAUGGAGAAAGUGAAUGGACACAGGUUUUUCUUCCCUCAUAGUGCUAGAACUCAUGGGCAUCUCAUGAAGCCAACUGUUGGAUGGUUCAGUGCAGACAAUAGAAAAUACUUCUUCACAUAGUGCAUAAACUGAGGAACUUGCUCUUGCAGGAGGAUGUGAGGGUCCCCAACUUUAAAAGAGGACUAGACUGUCAGGCCGAAUGCUUCUGGAUAGUAGUUGCUGGAAACUGUGAUAAGGGAGCUUGUAGGCUUCCUCUAAGUCUCUGGUUGGCCACUGUGAGAAUAGGAUGCCGGGUUGCUCCAGCAGAUUCUUCUUAAGCCUCUUAUAAUGGGGAGAGUGGAGUGCCUGGGCUAAUAGCUUAUUUUCAUUUUGGACUUGCCCAUGCAAAUGAAAGGAGAGGAUACAGGUCAGUGACCUUGCGCGCAUUAGCUUGCAUGCAAAAGGUCUCGGGUUCAAUGCCUGUCGUCUUCACUUAGGGCUGAGAAAGACUCCUGUCCAAGCUGGAGAGCAGCUGCCAGAUAGUGUAGACACUAUUAAGCUAGCUAGAUCACUUGUGUAUGGCAGAUUCCUAUACUCCUGUUACCAAAUCAAACAUCCCUUUUAUUGGAGCAGCAGCAGUAUGUCUUAAUUGGGUCUUUAGGCAGGAAUUGUGUUUCCCGUGGGUGCAGCAGUGUUACACUGGUGGUUCCUUGGAAACGCAUGAGGUGUAAUUGGCAGGUGUGUCUCCAAGUGUGAGAGCCCCGGUUACCAUUUUAUUUCCCCCAAAUAACAAUUCUUGCCCUGAGCAGCUUACAAUACACAUUUCAACAUGGGGUGGAGGAGGAAAGGAAAUGACAAGGACAACAAGGGAUGGAUGUGAGAAAAGGACACAUCCCAUAUUGAUAACUGCUCUUUUCCAGCUGUUCUGUAUCAUUUAUUUUUCUAUCCUGCAGGAUGGCUGAGACUUAGAGUCAGCCUCUGUGGAUCAGAGUGCACUCCGUCGUUUAAACUUCCAGCAGCAAGUGCCACAACUGAAGGCAUCACAACUUGUUGCCUCAUCAUUUUCCAAUGAAGCUAUUUGUUUCAAAAAGGAAGCGACUCAAAGCUGCGUGACCCUAUAGGACAGGGGUGCGGAAGAUCCUUCUUACAGCCCACAUGCUGGUGACGGGAAGGGCAAACAGACCAGGGUGACGAUUUCCUCUGUACAGUAAUCUCUGCUGCACCCACACAAAAGUCUUGAGGUUUCUACACCCACACACUUGCAAACAACACUUCUCCAUUCAGGCAAGCGAGAGAUGUGAUCACUGUUCUUCAAAGACUCCAGCCAGCCAAAAACAACUGAGAGAGCAGGAGCAAGGACUGGUUAGAGGGGCCUGGAGGAUGACAUUCAGGCCUCAGGGCUGAGGUUCUUCACCCCUGCACUAUAUUCGGUCUGAGCAUAGCCAAAAGGUUUUGGGCAGUAUUCAACUAAUUCCUCCUCCAAGCACAAGGAUUGCCACGAAUGUAGUGGAAUGCCCUGCAUGCUCUGUACCUUCCAGGGGUAUCAGGGGAAGCCCUAGAACAGUUUUAAGGGGUGCGCCGGGGAAAAAGAGGGGGGAGUCCCAUUGCACUAGCCGUAAUCCUUGCACUGAUGGGACCCCGACGUGGUGCUACGUUGAAUGCAACCCUUUGAUUCUGAAGCCACCUGAACAAAAUGAAACAAGCCUACAGGGCAUGAAGGCAAUGCCCAUUCCCGAGUUUCAAUAAGCCUUGCACCUGGCAUUAAGAGAUACACUGUCCCCAAUACUGGAGGCUCAACUGGCCAAGUGGAGACCUUUCUGCCCUGGUCCCUUCUUUCCUCUUCUCAAUCUUCUACACUUUAGACUCUGAAGGCCAGCUCUACCAUUAGGAAGUGAAGUGGCAGCCCUAAGCGGCCAUUUUGGGGUUUCUUGAAAGGCUGGAAAGUGCUAGUUAUUUAAUGCAUUAUUAUUUAAUGCAUUGCUAUUGCAUUUUUAGCACAAGGAAAGGUGAAGGACACUUGUGAGACUUUCUGCUUCAAGUGUCAAAGUAACUUUAACCUGGAUUUUUCUUUAAAAUCUGCUUGUUUGUUUUUAGAAGCCUGUUGCCAGAUUAUCUCAAUGACUAGUUUACAGUAUUAAGCUCUAAUUUGGAAGCAGCCUUGGUCAUUGUUUUAAUUAUUUGUUUUCAAUUUUUGUUGUUGUUUUAUACCUCAUUAGCCACCCGAGCAACCUGUUUUGGAGGAGAAAAGCAGGAUGCAAACAAAUCCUAGUGUACCAUUUGCGAGCAUCCCAUAUUAUGUAUGAUGUGUGGAAACAAGGCUGUGGUUCCUCGAGCUUUCCAGAUGAACAGAUUAGAAUUUCUUCCAAGUAUGCCAAACUAAAUCUGUAUGCAGUAUUUUCAGAAGCCCAGUUGCUGGGUGAGGCCUUUGUGAUUUAUAAUAAUUGCAAAUAAUUGUAGCAUCGUGGCAUAGCUAUUUCCUAGAUGCUGACACCACUCCUCUCCCAGAGAUCCUGCUAGAGAGGAGAAAUCAGCAGUGUUGCUUUUGAACAAGAUGCUUCCUCUGUUUGCUGCAGUUCAGAGCCGGCAGUGAGGUGACCACCUUAAGCAGUAGAUGCUGACGUGUGGAGAGCCACAGCUAAAUGUGAAAUGGCAAGGGGAAAGUUGCUAGGUUAUAACCCAGAGAUGCACUGAAGGCCUUGAUAAAAUGGGAAAGUCAACACGGUGUUAUUGGGCCUUGUACGAUCACUUAAAAAAAGCAACAACAGGUGGAUCAGGGCCUCAGUAGCAUCAAAGUGUUAAAGUGCCCUCUCCCCACACUAUGACCUUGAGCCAACUCCCCCCCGCACUACAAUCACAACAUACAAGGCUAAUUUGAUACCAAUGACAUCAUGUCUAGUUUGGUCUUUUCAGGAGUGGCCCCCUCUAUGGAAUGCUCUCUGCAGGGAGGCUUGCUGGCACUGAUCUAUUUUUGGCACCAGGCAAAGUCGUUUCUCUUCUCCCAGGCAUUUAUCUGGUGCCCCGAAGACUGUGAUGGUUAGACCUAUGUUAGUGGAUGUAGGGACUGCUUAUAUCAGGCAUGUCCAAAAUCCAUUUCGGGGGCCUAAUCUGGCCCACCGGUUGGUUUAAUCCGGCCCCUGCACCAGUUUAUUUCCUGGUCGCCCCUCACAGCACUUCACUUCAUCACUUCAUCAAAUCUGGCCCUCUUUGAAAAAAGUUUGGACACCACUUGUUUAUAUGGUUUGGUUAUCUUCUAUUGUGCGUCCUUUUAAAUCACUGUGCUUUUAAAGGUUGCAUACUGUAUUUUUACUAUUAUUUGUAAGUCACCUUGAGACGCUUGUGACAAGAAACUACAAAGCCUCAUAAAUAAUAAACAUGGUGCUAAAUGUGUCAUUAGAAACUAGAAGCACUUCCGGACACAAGGCUUAAUAUUACAAAUGGGUCAUUCACGUAUUGCAAGUUGGCUCACCAAUUGCAUUGGCUCUUUUUUAAAAAUAAUUUAAAAAAAACGUUUUGGAUUUCAGUGCAUAGCUGUCAACGUUUUCCUUUUUUUAAGGGAAAUUCCCUUAUUCCAAAUAGGAUUCCUCACAAGAAAAGGGAAAAGCUGACAGCUAUGUUUCAGUGGCAUAGCAUGAGGGGGCACAGGGGCGCUUGCCCCGGAUGCAACAUUGUUAGGGGCACAAAAUUUCAACACUCUGGUGCCGCCUCAGUACAGCUGUGUGCUUCCGUCACUGAGCUCCAAUAAAAACAGCUUUUACAUGUGAAACAGGAAGUGGCCUCUCCAGACAACAGGACGACUCUUCUUUUCUUUUCUCUGUGUCUGCGAUCUGCUGGGUGAUGCGGACGCCAUUAGGCAAUUGAAUGCGCAUGUGUACUCCAUCCAUUUCCAUCCCUCCCACCUCGUCCACCCUCUGUGUGGCCCUGGGCACAGGCAACCCAGACUAUGCCACUGCUGGAAAGAGUAGAUCUGGACUGAAGGGGGUGGGGAUACAGGCUGUCAUUUUUAUGACAAUAUCCUUUCUUUUCUCUCUAGCAUUUGCAUUGGUUGAUGCAAAAAACAACAACCUGGCAUGUCUGAGCAGCAUCGAUCCCACAAUAAAUACAGUGGUACCUCGGGUUAAAUACUUAAUUCGUUCCAGAGGUCCGUUCUUAACCUGAAACUGUCCUUAACCUGAAGCACCACUUUAGCUAAUGGGGCCUCCCGCUCCUGCUGCGCCGCCGGAAUACGAUUUCUGUUCUCAUCCUGAAGCAAAGUUCUUAACCCGAAGUACUAUUUCUAGGUUAGCGGAGUCUGUAACCUGAAGCGUAUGUAACCUGAGGUACCACUUUACUGCCUGGAAUUGUCCUAUGUUAAGUGGUGGUAUUUUAAAGCCAGUUGGGGUGGGGUUAAUCAGGACAGCAGCAUGCACAGAUACAAGAUUUGAUUCUUGCUUUCCCAGUUGUGCCCACCAAUAAUUGCCCCAUGCACUGGUAUUUGCCUAAGAAAUAAAUAUCCCAUUGCUGCCCAUGGGAGCUUUGCUCCCUAAGGCUGACAGCAGCACAUGGGAAAUUUUAAUCAGGAUUGAGGCAGAGAAUGGAAUGGUUAAAUCUCCCCACUCUUGUGGUCCCAAUGAAAAUUCCUCCCCCCAUCUCCAAUGCCUAUUAUUACAUUUUAAAAACCUAAUUUAGUUUCUAAUGAUCCAUUUAGCAUCGCAUGUAGUUCGGCUCUCUGAGUGCGCACACACUAAUGGCUUAAAAUGCAGCAAGGUUGUUUUCCACCGCAGCGUUUCAAGCCACAUUUGCACAGUGUUGUGCACAUCAGUGAGGGAGCAGGGAUGUACUCGCCCGAUGUGCAUGAUCUUUCUUGUUUCCCUGCCCCUGCAACUUCCCUAGAAUUCCAAUUAACAAAGCUUUUGUCUGUGCAUGCACACCCAUCUGCACAUGUGCAGUGACUGUCUCAAAUAUAUGCACCAGGCUUAAGCACAAAGUGAAUGCAGCUUAGGUUUUCUAGCUGGAUUUAAGCUGGUUUGAGGGAGGCAGAAAAUGCAUAAAACCGUGGUAUUUGUACAGGACUGAUACAGAUUGUGGCUAAUGUCACAGGCACACAGCCAUGGGAGCACCCUGCAAGCAGAGUAAGCUGAAGCCAGGCAAAACCUGAAGGGAAGCCCUGAUGACAAAUGCCUUUCAAAAUGUUAUUCAGAAAUCAGAUAUGCACUAUCCAGUCCCCAUCAGCAAACUACGUUGUGGUGUAUUCUGGUAUUAAAUCAGACCAUUCACAGACUGUCUUGGGCACCGUGCUGCUGAGAACGAAUCACUUGGGGCAGUGGCUCUGUGCCAGCAAGUGGAACAACCGAUGAUAUCACCUUCUCCAAAGUUCUGAAUGUGGGCCAAGACCCAGCACCUAGAAUGCUGCCAUUCCAACUUCCCACACCGGAGAUUAGCAAAGUCGAUGGCUGUUUACAGAGACCUAGAAGGAGUGUGGGCAACGCCAAGAUUUGCAAGAAGCCAUUCAUGAAAAUGUCAAGAGAUGGUUGUCAGCAUUCUGUAGUAAAAUGAAGCUGUCCAUGCUUCAUUUUUCAGUUGGAACUUGCUGGAACUCAGUUCCAGCACUUCUCAGAUGGGUGCCAUUGCCAUUACAAGUGAACAAGGGAAGUGUUUGUGGUGAGUUCUGGCACCUCUUUUUCUAGAAAAAUAGCACUGCUUGGAACCCUCAGAAUUUUCUGCUGUACAGUGGUACCUCGGGUUAGGUACUUACUUCGUUCCAGAGGUCCGUUCUUAACCUGAAACUGUUCUUAACCUGAAGCACCACUUUAGCUAAUGGGGCCUCUUGCUGCUGCUGCGCUGCUGGAGCACGAUUUCUGUUCUUAUCCUGCAGCAAAGUUCUUAACCUGAAGCACUAUUUCUAGGUUAGUGGAGUCUGUAACCUGAAGCGUAUGUAACCUGAAGUGUAUGUAACCCAAGGUACCACUGUACUACAAUAAUAAGGCAAAUGUUUAUGAGAUUCCCAGGAUAAUGAUUAUUUAGUGGACCCUCAGGCCAUGAUGACAUUAUUUUAUUAGGGAACAGAGACUGAACUCAAGGCCUCUCCUCCUAAGACUGGGAUGGGGGGAUCUGUGAUCAUCUGGAUGACCUUGGACUAUGGCUCCCAACACCUCUGACUGCUGGCCAUGCUGCCUGGGGCUAAUGGGAGUUGUAGUCCAAUGUUAUCUGUAUGGACACAGAUGCCCAUUGCUGUCUUAGAAAAUGUUGUGAAAGUUUGACAGGUCAGUCCCAAUGUGCGGUACGAUCACAGAAAUGCCUAGAAUGGGACACCAGUGCCCCCAGAAUUAAAAUGUUGUGUUAGCUGGACUUGAACAGUGUUGUGUUCAGAGGGAUUAUUGGAAGUAUGAAUCCGGAUGUACGUUUAGCUUAAUGAAUUAAGGCUGCAAUCCUGUGUACACUUAUCUGAAACUAAGUCCCACUGAACGCAAAGGGACUUAGACCUACUUCUGAGUAGAUAUGUAUAGGAUUGCAGUGUAAGGGUUUUUAAGUUUUGUAAUUGCUGGCUUUUAAAUACUGUGACCUUUGAUCUUUUUACCAGUGGAACUUCAAAUCCUUUUUAGCAUUGUUAAUUAUCGUUGCAUAUUGAUUUGUUGUAAGCUGCUUUGGGAGCCUUGUCUGUACUGUAAUACUGAGAUCCGCUAGCAUGUGAACAAAUAACAAACUGAAAAAUUGUGCCAAGGUUAAUAUUUUAAUAACUUAAAAUAACAUCAGCAAAUAAUUAACUCACUUGCGAUGAGUCCUGCUGACCCAUUUUGCCUCAAACUUAACAGGCCACUACCGUUCAGCAGAUAAGUAGAAACUAGAUUAGUCAUAAAGCAGUUUUGUCCAUGGGAGUUCCACAACAUGUGGGUGAGUUUUAGAUCUAAUCUGCAUGCAGAUGAACUACUUCAGUUCUUUUUCCUCAAGCUCUUUUCUCUCUCUCCUUUUUAAAAUAGAUUAGCAAGCUGGAACUUGUCCUUCAGCAGCUGUACAAUUAACUUGCAGUAAACACAGCUGAUAAUUGCUUAGUACUUGUAUCUUGGUACCUGCACACAAUUCAUUGCGUCCUGAAUGCUCAGUGUCAACUUUGAUUAAAAAAAAAACACCCUCAUUGAUAAUCAGCCAGAGACUUCCCUAUCAUAAUCAGUGAGUUUGAAUACACAUAUCUGCUGAGUCUGUUGAUGACCUUCUAAUUGUGGAUCAAUCCAUGUACUCAUAUGCUUACAGAUAUAUAUAUAUAUAUAUAUAUAUGUCUCAUCUUCUCAUCUUUAUAUUUUCUCUCACACCACCCCUGCGAGGCAGGUCACCAAGAGACAAGCUAUGUUACCCAAAACAUGGAGCAGCUGAUGAAAACAAGCCUCAUGUCAAGUUCCCCUCUUCUGUCCAACAGGAUGUUGUAAUUAAACUCAAGACAUACCAUUGCCAGAUGAUGUGCUCUCCUGCCUCCCCAACUCAAGUUGAUGACAUGAAGUGAUGCCAUGAUGGAGGGAUGCUAUGCAUUCAUUACUGAAAUACCCCAUCCUUCCCAACAUGCCCUCUUGGGUGUGAAGAUCAGCAGAGGGAGCCCUCUUAGUAGUUCUCCUGCCCUCAGAGGUUCAGGGUGCUGGCAGGGUGCUGGAGAUGGCAUUCUCUGUGGCAGCUCCUAGGCUGUGGAAUUCCCUCCUCACAAAGGUGAGUCUGUCAUUUUCAGUACAGUGGUACCUCGGGUUACAGAUGCUUCAGGUUACAGACACUUCAGGUUACAAACUCCGCUAACCCAGAAAUAGUACCUCGGGUUAAGAACUUUGCUUCAGGAUGAGAACAGAAAUCGCACAGUGGUGGCGCGGUGGCAGCGGGAGGCCCCAUCAGCUAAAGUGGUACCUCAGGUUAAGAACAGUUUCAGGUUAAGAACGGACCUCCAGAACGAAUUAUGUUCUUAACCUGAGGUACCACUGUAUAUAGUUGCCACUAUAUGCUGAAGACCCACCUCUUUAUCCAGGGCUUUUGAAACUCAAGACAUGUGUUUUCAGUGCCUGCUCCAUUCCUGUGACGGCAAUUUGUUUUACACUGUUUUUAACACUGAAUUUUAACUUCUUGUAACCCGCCUGAUGGGGGAAGGGCAGGUAAUGAAUUAAAUAAAUAAGAACAAGAACAAGAACAGCUUUGGGAGCAGAAUGCAAAAAAGGGCCCAGGAACCAGGGGCAUCUCUGAAAAACCGAACUUCGACAAAGGGGCAUGUCUGGAAACUGGAUUGCGGCAACGGUUGGGAAGCAGGGUUUCCCUUCCUGUCUGGGGCCUGGAAAUUUUGCCAGCUCUUCAGUUUUGCACUUCUCCUUAUGGCCAUGCAGCUGAUGUGUGCAGUUGACUGCUGCCUCUCUGGCACAUGUUGGCUGUAUGCUUAGAAAUGUGCAUUAGGAGAAGGGCUGCAGCUCAGUGGUUGAGAACAUGCUUUGCAUGCAAAAGGUUCUAGGUUCAAUCCAAGGUCUCCUGGUAGUUUCAUGGCCCUCAGACAUUCAUGGGCUGGCAGCCUGGGAGAGGGCAUUUUUUCUGGCAGCCCUUCAAUGUACAUCUGGCCCCUUCAUUAUUGAAGAUGCGCCUCUUUCCCUGGCUUUUGACACAUGGGAAAUAUAGGUAGAGAGAGAGAAAGACAGGAGGACAGACUCUGUUCUUUUGACUGUAAUUUUAACUGAUUUUAAUCAUCUAUUUUCAAAUUGCUGUAACCUACCCUGUGAUAUUACGGCGAAGAGCAGGUAAAAAAGUAACUUAAAAAUAAACAGUAAUGGUUUCUGCAUGUUAUAUGGGAGAGAAAAGGGAACUUGGUAAGUGUUGUGGGUAACGUUUGCUUCUCAUUUGCAGGUAGGGAGAGAAAGCAUGACAUGUUCCCCCACCAUAAGAACAACCUAACACCCCAUACACAUGUAACUGUAUUCUUGUAAAAUUUGGUUUGUCUGUUUUUGCUUCAGUUUUUUGUUCACCACUUGGAGAUACUUUUAAUAUAUUGAGUGGUAUAGAAAUUUUAUAAUCAAACUCGUUAGUCUGGAGAAGACUUGGGAAGGUGGGGGCAGCGAUAGUAUCCUUCAAAUACGAUGGGCUGUCACACAGAAUAGGGCAAAGAUUUGUCUCUUGCUACCCUAGAGGACAGGAUUUGAUUUAUUGGGCUUAAAUUACAGAAGGGAAGAUCGUAGUUCAACUUUAGGAAAAAGACCUUGAUUAUGGCUGCCUAAUCUCUGGCCCUCCAGAAGUUGUUGGACUCCAACUCACAUCUGCCCUAGCCAGCAGGGACUACGGUCAGGGAUGAUGACAACAUCCAAAGGACCACAGAUUUGUCAUCCCUGUUUGCCGAACAGAAGCUGGGCAUCUGUUGGGGAUGCUUGUUGGUUGUACUAUGAAAUGGUGCACUCAUGCCACUUCCAACACUAUGAUCUUCAGACUAAUUUCUUUAAAAAUUGGUUGCAUUCUCUCUCUCUUUUUAAAAAUUUCUGUAACUCCACAGUAAAUAGCAAGGUAUUGCAACUUAAGUUUCUUUCAUCACUGCCACAGCGGUAUUCAGUAUUGCUGUGAUGGGACAGCUUGGUCUUUUAUUAUAAUCAAGUGCUCUACCUAAGGUUUUGGCAAGCACUAUGUGCUAAUGAGCAGACUUCAAUAUCAUGUCUGUUUUAAUGCAUCUGUAACGUGACCAUCUGGACUGGAUAGUGCUGCAGCCUUUGUAAGCAUGUGGUAAACAGAGCAUGACAAAAUGCGCAAUUGUUAAGUUUUGACGACAUUUAAUUGGGCAUAUUUAAUGUUUGUUAAUAAUUUAUGUCUUUUCCGUGUUUAUAUGUUUGUGGAGAUUAUUCACUAUGCAAUUUAAACUCCUGGUAUAUAUCACCUUUUGAAACUUCUUGGAUAAAUGAUAGGUUAAAAAAAAAGUCAAUUUGCAAAUAAAAGUGUUUUGCUUUGUUUUAAAAAGGAUAAAUUUAAUAUCCCCAAAGACCUAAAUAAUUCAACAACCACUACUAGUACGUGAAAAAUGUGACACAAGAUACAGUGGAUGCUUUUUGAAAAUGAUGGGUGUCUUCAGCUGCUCCGGCUGUUCUGACACAGGAAGAGGAAGAAUGUUUUGAAGGGUGCUUUAUUACUUCACAAAUCAAAGUUUUUGUGUAGUUUACACUGGCAUCUGUGAACUGCUCUGAUUUUGUAUGAAGAGUUGUAUGUCAAUGGAAAAAGACAAUCAGCAGUUCACUGCUUCUACAGCUUGCUAGAUCCUGAAAUAAGUGUUUUUAUCUGGGUAUCCUGUAUCAGCAGCCUCCAGCCAGCUCCCCAAAGUAGCCGUAUUACAGUGCACUGUCUAAUAAUGAGACUUCCUGCCAGGUAACUGCGUGCAGAAUUGCAGCCUAAGGCACACACCUGGAAGAAAGCCCCAGUGAACAGACAUGCACAGUGCAGUGUCUCAAAGCACAGGCAACAGGGGAGUCUCAUGUUGUACCUUUAACAAAUGAACAGUAUCAUGUAGUUCUGCAGCCAAGAUCCUACCUCAUGAAUCACUGUGCACAAUGCUAGCCACAUGGAUUACUUUUCACAGCUGGCAGUCAAGUGACUCACAGUUGGGACACCGAUACAGAACAGCUCUAAAGCUUCAGUUCUAUUACACUAACCUUGAAUUCAAUGGGAAUUAUUUCUGAGCGAAGUGGCAUGCAUAGGCUAGUGCUGUGAGUUUGGGAGGGUCAAAAUAGCCCUAUUACGGUAGUAGGCGGGAAAUGGUAUGCAUUCAGCUGUGUCAUUGUUGAGGAGUGCGUUAACACCGUCCAUGCCUGUGGCUUCAUAGACAUAAUGCUGCUGCUUUUUUCUGUGACAGGAACAGAAGACGUUACUAUAUAUGGAGGCAGACCAUUGGUCCAGCUCUGAGGGCCUUCUGGCGGUUCUAGCACUGCAAGUAGUGAAAUUACAGCAAGUCAGGUACGGGGACUUCUUGGUGGUGGCUCCUGCCUUGUGGAACAUCCUCCUGGCAGAUGUUAAGGAAACGAACCACUAUCUGUCUUUUAGAAUACAUCUGAAGGCAGCCCUGCAUAAAGAAGUUUUUUAAUGUCGAUGUUUUCUUGUGCUUUUAUAUCUGUCAGAAGUCACCCAGAGUGGCUGGGGCAACCCAGUCAGAUGGGCGGGAUAUUAUUAUUAUUAUCAUUAUUCAAGCUCAGUAUUGGCAGCAGCUCUCCAAGGUGUCAAAUGGGAGUCUUUCCCACCCCUGGAAGUGCCAGGGAUUCAGCUGCUUGUAUGUAAAGCAUGUUAUGCUAUGCAUAUGCUAUGCUAAUGAGCUGUAGCCCUUCCCCAGAUUACAGUGGUUCAAGAUAAGACCACCUCAAGAAAUUCAUGUUUCAGAUGCAAUUUGCAUCAGAGUAUUAGUUGUUGAGGGAGUGACAAUGGGAGAGUGUGAUUGCCCUCAGGUCCCGCUUGUGGACUUCAUUCUGGGCCUUUAGCAAUGUGGCAGCCAUUUUGUUUUCUUCUUUCAUUGUACAGAUAGAUUUUUAACACACUUCCUUAUCUUUUCCACUGCCAGAUCUUUAUGUUAAUUGCUCUGCAAAGCAGUGUUCUUGGCCAAUUUCAGUGCCUGAGGAGGAGAGCUCACGUCUCAGACUGGCAUGACAACCAACAUUUUUUCCCAAGACUACAUGGAGUUGAAAUGUAAAUUCUUAUCUAAUAUUUAGGGUUACCAUGUGUCCUCUUUUUCAGAGGUAAAAUUUGAGACAGAUUGCAUCUAUUUGCUUUGAAUGGCCAUCAUAGCGUCCUCUUUUUUGCUCUUCAAAAUAUGGCAACCCUAAUCGGAGGCAUUCUCAAUGUGCUUAGAGACCUAAGGCUGCAAGUCCUAGAAGAACUAUUUCCUGCCUUGCAGGCCUUUUCCCACCUGGCCUGGGAGAGCUGGGCCCUGACUUGAGCUACAGAAACUGAGGCUACUGGGCUGCCGUAUUUGGUGGGGCGUGUUGGAUGUUGCUGCUGCUGCCAUUAUUGAAAUUAAUUUUUGUACCUUUAUUUUAUAAUUUAUUUUUAUGAGGAAAUUGUUUCAAUUUACUUGUGUACUUUUUGAUGUUUUGAUAGAAUCACAAAACUGUCCAGCUGGAAGGGACUGAUGAGAGUCCAAACCCCUGCAAUGAAGGGAUCUUUUAUUGCUUAUUGCUAUGCCUGCUUCUUGGGAGAAAAGCAAUGACAAACCUAGACAGCAUCUUAAAUAGCAGAGACACCACCUUGCCAACAAACGUCCGUAUAGUUAAAGCUAUGGUUUUCCCAGUAGCGAUGUAUGGAAGUGAGAGCUGGACCAUAAGAAGGCUGAUCCCCGAAGAAUUGAUGUUUUUGAAUUAUGGUGCUGGAGGAGACUCUGGAGAGUCCCAUGGGCUACAAGAAGAUCAAACCUCUCCAUUCUUAAGGAAAUCAGCCCUGAGUGCUCACUGGAAGGACAGAUCCUGAAGCUGAGGCUCCAAUACUUUGGCCACCUCAUAAGAAGAGAAGACUCCCUGGAAAAGACCCUGAUAUUGGGAAAGAUGGAGGGCACAAGGAAAAGGGGACGACAGAGGAUGAGAUGGUUGGACAGUGUUGUCAAAGCUAUGAACUUAAGAGUUUGACCAAGCUGCAGGAGGCAGUGGAAGACAGGAGUGCCUGGCGUGCUCUGGUCCAUGGGGUCACAAAGAGUCG